UGAUCAAGUCAAGAGAGUACGGUGGUUUUUGAAGACGAAUAAGGCUGCGAACACAAAAUCAAAAGAAUUGUCAGCAGAAUUAAGGUUGAACUACUCAUAAC